rnacentral:tRNA from 1 species
GGGCGCGUAACUCAGUGGUAGAGUGCCACCUUCACACGGUGGAAGUCGCAGGUUCAAGUCCUGCCGCGCCCACUA